AAGACGGUUUCGGUGAGCCUUUCACUCCUCGUCGACGUCCACCUCAUCGAAUCCCUUCAGUUCGCCACUAGGACCUGUUCCCAAGUCAGUCGAUUCCUCACGCCCCAUGUUAGAUACUACUGUCUAUUCUUAUUUGGGGGUUCUGAUCUCCUCCCGCCUGUUUAACCAAAUCCUCAAAUUUCUCCAAGAAGAGGUGCUAGCUAUUGUUUAGUUGUCAAAUGCUUGUGUUUCUGAACAUCAUUAGUCAUAUGGUAGUGUCCUGCUAAGUGCUAAGACUGGUAGCACGUCUUUGCCAAAUCUGAUGAGCUCGCUCCCUAAUCAGUGGCAUGGUGUGUGCAAUGAUGUGGAACAUAACUAGCUGUCUUACAUGAGUCUAAGUUGCGGACAACAAAUAGUUCUCGUCUCUGUCCCUGAUGCUUUCUUUACAUAUGUUUGUGUGGCCAUCUUGUUGCUCUAUGUUUCAGAGCAUAAACUGCAAGUGGCAAAUGGAUAAAUAAGUUAAAAAUAAAUAGAAAUACAAAAUGUUACGACCUACAGGGCAAUACUCUUGCUUUCCUACUGCAAAUGGCUUCUUUUAGACAGUUAGAUAAAUAAAUCAGGGGUCACGUGCUCAUAUGGUAAUUGUCUAGUUUACUUGCAUAACAAAUUUAACAUUCCUGGAUUGCGCUCUCCUCUGUUUUUUCCCAUUGAACUGACCCUCAAACUAAGUUGCUUUUGUUUCAUUAAGAACUAAUAAAUAUUGCAUGAUUCCUAUGUAUGACUGACAUUUACUUUAGCGGUUGCAACAAUUCUCUAUUAUUUCUGUGUUGAAUCACCUUGAUUUACAUGAACGAAAAAGAGUGUUAGCAUUUUUUGGUUAUAACAGACCUGCCACUCAACGGAAGUAUGUGCCCUCUCUUAGCUGUUAUUUGGUGCAAGGCGGUGCCUUAGAGAACGGUAGCGUACAACAGUACAAGUUCUAAGACACUUGACAAGUCUUUAGUAUUUUGCAAUCACCACUUCCUCAAGGUCUGUCUGAUCUGAUAUUCUCUGACUAUAUGUUUGGCAACAAACGAUCUGUGGUCUUGCAAAACAUCAAAGUUAUGUUUGUAUUUCAACAGGAUAGAAGUUUCAGAAGAUAAUGACAUCGCACAAAUUGGCGAGUUGAAUGGCUGUUCAUUCUUGGCCUGUCAUUCUUUCAGCUUUAAAUAGUUUGUAUUUGCGACUCAUGCUGUUUAGCGUGGUCCAAUUUAUGAACCAGAGAAAGUGUUAGUUGUCUAGCUUUACUAACAUGUCACAAAACUGAAGACACACGGUUACACCUAAUUUCAUGUCUGCUUAAAAGAAACUGAAAAAAAAAUAGUAGUGAGAAGAAAGAUUUUUGUUAAUUACUGUUUAACAAUUGAUUGCUUGCAUUUUGUUAAAAGUAGUACUCUGUCUAUGAACCUGUCUUAUAACAUAGACCGUAUAUGUCAAUCCCUCCAACUUAGCAGUAUCCAUUAGUUCUCCUUGUUCCCUUAUUCUCUGUUUCUUCAGUUUCACCCGCAACCAAAUAAUAUUAAUUCCACACAUGACACUACAAGGAUUAAUACUGAAUUAAUUUGUUUUCAUUCACUUGUACUUUAUGGCAAUGUCUAGACUCAUGUCUACUUGUAGUUCAAUUCCAAAUGACCGCAUGUAUGCAAUACGCAUGUGUUUGUUUAUUUUCUGAAUCAUGAACAGAGUUUCCAGAUUAUCCUUGCAAAUACUAUUUCCUUUUGGAAUAAGUCCGUACAAAGUUUAAUGGACUUCCUUAGCAUCUCAAUUUAUAUUCCACUGGUACUUUGUUUUUUUAUGAGGAGAAAUCACAUUAAUUUUUGUUUUGUAUAGGUACUACUGUAACAUUCAGGUAAUUAGAGAUAUAGACACUAGGUAUUAGUAAGUUGUAUGCAUGCUAUGGUGUAUAUUUGUAAAUUAUGAAUUUUAUAAGUCCCUAUGUGCAAUUGGGUAAAAAUGCUAUUAAAUGUCAAAUUCAAAUGACCAUAGAGAAAAAAAGUACAAAUAUUAAGUUAAACCUAAGAGAAAUAGACUUUGUAUGAAACUAAGGACCUAUGUGUAAUUAACACAAAUAUUUAAGGGUUUACAUGUGAAAUGAUUGAAGUAUAAAAGUAAAAUUCAGAUUUACUUAAGGGUUAAUGUGUAAAAAUACAAGUAAUCAUGACAAACCAGAAAAAUUGUAAACAUGCUCAAAAUUUGAUCAAAUUUAGGUGGGCAAAGACAAAUUUAACUUAAAUUCCAUCUUUGUUUCAAAAUGCAAUCUAAAUAGCUGUAAACUUUGAGUUUCUGAACCUAAGCCCUAAAGCAAUGUUGUAGAGUUUGAAAAACUCUACAACUUUUAUUUUGAGCAUUUUCUCAUUUGACCUGUGUAGCAGUGGGAAAUCUUAUUUUACCGAAAGGUCCCUGAACUUUUUGGAAAUUGCAAACAAGUCCUACUGACACCUGUUGCUUCUUCUUCCUCUGUCACCGCCGCUUCCCCCUCUGCUCUGCUCCUGCCACCGCCGCUCACCGCCGGCGCCGCACCCCAAGCUCCACCUCCAGCUCCUGCAAGUGCCUACGAGUCGCCCCCUACCUCCCCCACCUCUGCUCCCCUCCCUCCCUGGCGUCUCCUGCGCUCGCCACGCGCGCGCCACCGCCGCUCGGUCGCCACCGAGCCGUCGCCGUGGCAAGCUCCAAAUCAAGUGCCUGGUCCUCGUGUUUGCACGCGCUUGAGCACUACAACUGCCCCGCGGAGCUAAUGGUCGCAUUCUUCCUUUCCUUCUCCACUCCCACGCCUCGGAACGCCGCCGCCAUUGCCACCCGAACGCCGGCGAGCUCGAGCUCACCGUCGCCCCACCUCUCCACCGCUGCUCCGCCUGCGCUGACCCCGUCUUCAGCUCCACCUCAUCCUCGCGCAGCUUUCCGGCCAUUCCCCUUCCCCGCUCGGACACCGGAGCUUCGUCUCCGACGGCCACCGUCCGCCGCCGCCUCCUGCUCUUCGUGGACAGCUCACUCCGAGCCUUUCCACGCCACCACAACACCAUAGCCACCACCACACCAUCACCCCGGAGCUUUACGACCACUUCGUGAAGUUUCUAGUGCCCUACAUCUUCCUUCCGACGAUCGCCGGUAUUCAUCCUCGCCGCCGCCGCCACUGUCCUCGUCGAUUACCUUUGACCCGAUGCGUAUCCUUCCAAUUAGUUGCACCAACACCUUCCCCAUGACUUACUGAAGCUAGUGCGCAGGUCCCCUGCCGACGUUGAUCACCGGAGCCUCGCCGUCGACGGUGACCUCUCCGCCGCCGCCUCGGGCUCUUGUCGAGAUACCCUUUUCCGACCGCCGCGACCCUCGACACGUGGUGUGUUCAAACCCCCGUAAGCCCCUGAACCCUCUCCUCCCCUUAGACCUCGCCGCCGGUGAUCGCCGUCGCCGGAACACGGCCGCCCUUUUUUUUGCUCUGCUCCUGUCUCUAGCCCAAGGACCCCGUGUUAGAAGACUUGAAAAUCCAGGGGGUUAUCUGCACAGCCUUAGACUCAGAUGAAUAGUGCCCGAAGGACCCCCUUAUGUAAUUUAUGCUGCCAACUUUGAAAUUCUAUAUCAAUUCGAGGAAAAAUCAUAAAAAUGUAAACAAAAAUUUGUUGGAAUCCUUAGUUAAAGAUCUACAACUUCACUUAAGGGAUAAACUUCAGUUUCUGAAUGUUUUAUACUCUAAUUUAAAUGUUAAUUUUAGUUACUUGUAGGCUUAGGAAAUGCAUAGUAAUUGAUAGAAAAAUGAUAAAAAUAUGAAACCAGUUGGGUUAAUUUUCUUUUAACAUGUAGAAUUGAAGAAAAAUAAUUAUCCCAGUAUUUAAGUAUUAUUUUCUGAAUGUACAAGUUUAAUUAGAAGUAAUGUGUAGUUUACUUUGUAUAAUUAAUAUUUAUAAAUUUUAAAUGCUCAAAAAUCAUGGAAAUAUUUUAGGGUACUGUUCUUUAAUAGUAUAACCUGUUAUUAGAUUCCCAACCUAAGAUUAGGCGAAAAACAACUAAAGCAAAUUAAACAUGUUAUAGUAAAUACAUAAUUUAACAUCAACAUGGAAUUCAUAUAAAUAAAUAGUGUAAGCAAUAAAUAAAAUUAAUUAAUUUAGUUUUUGGGCAUCACCCCAACCUGUUGCCCCAUGCCACUAAUUAGAUACUUAGCAUAGUAACUCUGCUGUUUAAUGUAUCUAAGUAAGAUAGUUAGUACCCGAUAAAUGACUGCCCAGUGCAGGGUAGUUAGGUUGUUUGUUGUAAUGUAAUAUUCUUUUAAUUGGAUUGCAACUAUAUCAUGAAUUAAAAUAAAAGUAUAUGCAUUCCAUAAUUUAUACCUUUGCACGUCAUGUAGACUCGACCACUCUCGCCGACGGAGAUUACCAGCUAAUCCCGGAACCAGAAGGAGGUUAUUCUGAAGACCCCGGGAGUCGUCGCGGAAUUCUCUGAAGCCCCGAACCAAGGUUCGGAAGAUAUUAAUUUGACUAACCCCAGCCCCACCAGCGAAGGCAAGCCCCGGACAUAACCCCUACUUUAUUUACACUGCCAUUAUUAUCUAUAUAUAUAUAUAUCUUUAUGCAUUAAGUUCUUAGGAGUUGUUGGAAACCUUAGUUGCAUAAUUCCAGGAACCUAUGUAUUGAACACUAGAACUUGAGUCCGAAUAGCUGCUCUGCUUAUAGGACCGGUAGAAGUCGAGUGAUUUUCUGUCACUCGCGCGAUAUAGGAAUUGUAAUAUUUACAUUCCGCAAUCAGUAUAAGGAUGACGGACAAGAAUUAUGUGAGGUAUCAUGGUUGAGGUGAUACCCCGUCUGUGUUGUUGAACUGGAUAAGGCCGCAGUGUGUGGUAGCGGUGGUUAAGCGUUUGAAAGUACUAGCCACAUGCCGUGAAAUAUGGUAAGCGGUAAGUAAAGUAACCAAUCGGCCCGAGGAGUGGACAUACCCCCCACCACAUGUAUUUGGUUAUUUUGGUUACUUUGUUCGACGUGUAGGAAUACGUGUUGCUGGGCAACCAGGAGUACGGGUUUUGUAGUCGCGCUACAGACGUACGUCCUGCACUUUGGAAGUGCGUAUGGUCCUGCAGUCGCUUGUGGUGGCCCUGAUCCACGAGUCGGAAUGAAAGGCAAACGGUUGCUUCGGAACGACCCUUUGGUGUUCCAAGCGUGUGUGUUAGGUUUAUCCUUGCAAGGUUUUGAAAUUCGAUUCAGGAAUCGUCCGUUUCUCGCGGAGAUUGAGACUGCUUAAUCCCUUUGCCACAUAGAGUAAUAAGAGCAACUUUGUGAUUAUGAAAGAUGAUGUUUGAUUAAAGAUUCUACCAUGUUUGAGUAGUUCUAGGUGCUUACCUAGACUGGUUAAUCAACUAAAAGUUGAAAAUAAAGAUCUACUCUUUGUUGCUUUUCAGCUGAAAACUCUACCCAAAACCUGAAAAGCCUGCAUAAGUCUAGAUACAUGGCUAAGUAUACCAUGAGACGGGUAAGCCUUGCUGAGUAUUAGUAUACUCAGCCUUGCUUUUGUUGAUUUACUUCAGGUAAUCUCCCUGAUGAGCCAGCAUUCAUUACACCGUGGCCCUACCCCCUGCCUGAUGGUUGGUCCAUGGAGUGGGAUCCAUCCCCGGCCAACACAGAUUCCGCCGAGUGAUAUCGUGCCAGGGCUAGCACGAUAUCCAUAAUAACGACGUGUACAGUGUUCGUGUUUUCAAACUCCGCUGCUGUGACUUAAAACUUAAACCGUUUUGUAAUAAUGUCCCUCGCUGGACACUAAUGUUAUUUUUGUAUGCAUAUGUAAUAUAUCUGUCUGUGA
rnacentral:lncRNA from 1 species